GCAAGUCGAACGGGCUAGUGCUUCGCACUAGUCUCUUUCUGGGGUUGUUACUCUAAGGCUACCUGCUAAAGUUAUUGCUUUAAAGCAGGGGUUUUAGGAGACUUUCCCCGAAAGGGGCCAGUGCGGAGCACUGGCCAGUGGCGAACGGGUGAGUAACACGUGGGUAAUCUACCCUCGAGUGGGGAAUAAGCUUCCGAAAGGGGGUCUAAUGCCGCAUAACGUUUCAUAACGAUGGUUAUGAAACCAAAGCCCAAAAGGCGCUCGAGGAGGAGCCUGCGUCCUAUCAGCUUGUUGGCAGGGUAAUGGCCUACCAAGGCUAUGACGGGUAGCCGGCCUGAGAGGGUGUCCGGCCACACUGGAACUGAGACACGGUCCAGACUCCUACGGGAGGCAGCAGUGGGGAAUUUUGCGCAAUGGGGGAAACCCUGACGCAGCGACGCCGCGUGGAGGAUGACGGCCUUCGGGUUGUAAACUCCUGUCAGAAGGGACGAAAUCCCGCAAGGGACUGACGGUACCUUCAGAGGAAGCCCCGGCUAACUACGUG
rnacentral:rRNA from 1 species